rnacentral:tmRNA from 1 species
GGGGUAGACAUGGAUUUGACAGCAUGAUGAAUAGGUAUGUAAGCAUGUCGGGCGCAGUGAAGCCGGCCCGUUAAUCCCGGACACAAAAUUUCAAUUGGCGAAAACAACUACGCUCUCGCUGCCUGAUCGAAUCAUAGUAGAGAUGGCUUAAUCCCCACCAAGAAGGCGGGGACGAGACAUUCCGCCGGGGGUUCCACCUUGUACCGCCCGGGUUCGGGGUGCAGGUAACACGAGGUUAGUUCGCGUCAUGCCCCGGGACGCGAAUGAAAUUCAGGAGCUAAGGCGUGAUUUGGGUGCUUUUCCCCGUGUCGCGUUCGAAAACCAACGAGAAGCUAAGCGUGUAGAAAGCAUAUUGAUUCCAUGUUUGGACCAGGGUUCGAUUCCCUGCUACUCCACUU